GACGGAGGGUGCAAGCGUUGUUCGGAAUCACUGGGCGUAAAGCGCGUGUAGGCGGUUGAAUAAGUCGGAUGUGAAAGCCCGGAGCUCAACUCCGGAAGUGCAUUCGAAACUGUUCGGCUCGAGUACGGGAGAGGGAAGUGGAAUUCCUGGUGUAGAGGUGAAAUUCGCAGAUAUCAGGAGGAACACCGGUGGCGAAGGCGGCUUCCUGGACCGAUACUGACGCUGAGACGCGAAAGCCAGGGGAGCGAACGGG
rnacentral:rRNA from 1 species